rnacentral:tRNA from 1 species
AUAGUUCAGUUGGUAGAACGCAGGUCUCCAAAACCUGAUGUCGAGGGUUCAAGUCCUUCUGCCC